rnacentral:misc_RNA from 1 species
GUGUACAAGACCCGGGAACGUAUUCACCGUAGCAUGCUGAUCUACGAUUACUAGCGAUUCCAGCUUCAUGUAGUCGAGUUGCAGACUACAAUCCGAACUGAGNNAUGGGAUUUGCUUGACCUCGCGGUUUCGCUGCCCUUUGUAUUGUCCAUUGUAGCACGUGUGUAGCCCAAAUCAUAAGGGGCAUGAUGAUUUGACGUCAUC